GCAUGGACAGUGUGCAUAACAAAUAAGUGAUAUCAUCGCUGUUUUCGUACCACCGGUAUUAAAUUACUUUUAAUUCAUAAGACUUAUUUUCAGGAGUGACAGUUAUCAGUGAAAUAUGGCGCUCGUGUAAUCAAAAGGUCUGCCUACCCCCUGGGAAUGUGAAUUGGCCUUGAACCUAAACACUUCCAUUCAUAGAGUACUGAAAGAAUAUAGUGGACACACAGCUCUGCCGUUUUCACAUAGUUUUCCACAGGCUCUUACUGUAAAAGGCUAUAAAAUAGCCAAGACACAUGGACGUGUGCCAUACCCCAUGUCUGGACCAAAAACUUUUGCACCCUCUCUUCUUUGACCACCUCAUCAAAAAUGCAAAACAAGACAGCAAACACUGCAGGACAAUCAGGCAUCCAAGUAACAUGCAAAAUCUCUGCAUCUGAUGAUGGCCAUGUGUUUUCGCCGAUCAUAACUGCUUCAAGCUCCUUUGAGAUCAAUAUGACUUCUGCCAAAUCAAAUGUGCCGGCAAAUUAUCAUCAAAGGUUUCUGAAAGCAAACACCAGUCAGUUGGUUGAAAAAGUGAAGAACAUUGAUCAAUAAUUGACAAUCUUGAUUGCUCAAUGAAUCAGUUACAAAUGUGCGAGCGAAUCCAACACACCAGAUGAAGAUGAGGGAACUGCUGGACUGUGUGAAUUGUGAAAGCAUUGCCAACGACCUGGUCAACGCUUUGUUCAAGCAUGAAGAAUCUCUCAUGAAGAAACUGCAAUAACAACUGUUGUAGCCUAUUGUUUGGCAUUAUGUAAUUAAACAGUUUUUAAAAAAAGAAAUGUUUUUAAUAAUUGAUUGGUGAUGGAGUUUUAAUUUUUGUAUUGAGAACCAAGUAUAUUGUACAAGUAAGAAGAUACCAAACUGGCCAUAUAAUGAUAUAUUGCACAUAAUAAACAAUGGCAAAGUUUGUAUUCCUUAAAAAACAGGCAAUGUUUG